AUGGCAGUUGCCUAAGUUCAGACCACAAAUAAAUUUUUCUCAGAUCUUAUGAAGCCUUAUAAAUAAGAUAUAACACUAAUACCUGUGGAAGAACUCAUGCUUCUCAUGUUGUAUUCUUUUAUGUUUUUUCCAAGAAACACGUGGGGUUCACAAGUAGGUUCUCAGCUGGGGAGGAGGUAUGCAGAGGCCAGCAGAGAAGGAGGUGAUUAUUCCUGAUACAGUUCUUCAGAGCAAAUGCAUGCAGGAUCAGCUCAACUGGCAGAGCCCUGGAUGUUGACUGACCAGAGGCUGAUGCAUGACAGAGGAUGUGACAUAACCACUCAGUGCCAUACUCUUUGGCCCAGGCUUCCACCCAUAGCUAGAUUCUUCAGGACAGCAAAAUUAUCUCUCUGCAGACUGUUUCAUAGAUGUGCUCUUGGAGAAGGUGAUCCUUCU